UUUUGAAUACAAUAUAAUAUAUCGUAGAUAAAUCUUAUCAAUUUAUAUGCAAUAUAAAUUAUUAACUGGUUAAUUGACUAAUUAACUGAAUUAAUUUACUGGUGGUAGGACCUUUUGGGAGUCCGCACUGGUAGGUACCACCACCCUGCCUGUUUCUGCCGUAAAGCAGUAACGCGUUUCGGUUUGAAGGGUGAGGCAGCCGUUGCAACUAUACUGAGACCUUAGCACUUAAAUCUCAAGGUGGGUGGCGCAUUUACGUUGUAGAUGUCUAUGGGCAUCGAUAUAUUACCACUAGAUCCCGCGUAAAGGCGUCAAAAGUAACCAAACAAAACUGUGCUUAGAUUCAUAUUAAGCACUGUUUUGCCGUCAGUGUCACGCCGACCGUCGAGUGAAACGAUCCUAAAAUGCGCUGUAAAAAGAUGUAAAAAACACGUUUAUAAAGAGAACACAACAUGAAAUUUAGUAUUUUUGAUUUAAUAACAGAGUAAUAAAAGAAAAAAGAAGCAACAAUUAUUUCAAACCUAAUUGCUCCAGUGUGGUUUGUGCAGACCAUUUUACCGAAUCUGACAUGUAUUUAAUAAAUAAAACAAUUUGAUGGGGA